rnacentral:rRNA from 1 species
UACGUAGGAGGCGAGCGUUGUCCGGAGUUACUGGGCGUAAAGCGUGCGCAGGCGGUUCGUUGUGUCGGCGGUGAAAUCCCCGGGCUCAACCUGGGAAUGGCCGUUGAAACUGGCGAACUGGAGUGUGGCAGAGGGGGGUGGAAUUCCGCGUGUAGCAGUGAAAUGCGUAGAGAUGCGGAGGAACACCGAUGGCGAAGGCAGCCCCCUGGGCUGACACUGACGCUCAGGCACGAAAGCGUGGGGAGCAAACAGG